rnacentral:rRNA from 1 species
UACAGAGGGUGCGAGCGUUGUCCGGAAUCACUGGGCGUAAAGGGCGCGUAGGCGGCGCGGUAAGCGUGCGGUGAAAGCCCGGGGCUCAACCCCGGGUCGGCCGUGCGGACUGCCGGGCUGGAGCACUGUAGAGGCAGGUGGGAAUUCCGGGUGUAGCGGUGGAAUGCGUAGAGAUCCGGAAGAACACCGGUGGCGAAAGCGCUCUGCUAGACCUUAACUGACACUGAGGGACGAAAGCUAGGGGAGCGAAUGGG